GUCUCUGUGAAUUUGGGGAGGGGUCCCAGCCCGUUUCCCCCCCCCCAGUGCGAGCUCUCCACCCUGGAGGGGAUCAAGUCCUGUCUCUCCUUCUACCCCGGCGCCUGCGGCUCCAUGAGGGGGAAGCUGGCGGCGCAUUUCCUGUCGCGCAUCGACAGCGAGAGCCCGCGGCUGCAGCAGCUGGCCUGCGAGUGCUACGCGCUGCUGCCGGCGCUGGGCCGCGGUUUCUCGCAGGGGCUGCGGCACACGGAGUGCUGGCACCAGCAGCUGCAGGGGGUGCUGGCCACGCUGCACGGGCUGCUGGGGGCGCUCUUCGAGGGCUGCGAG